GACGAACGCUGGCGGCGUGCUUAACACAUGCAAGUCGAACGGAAAGGCCCUGCUUUUGUUGGGUGCUCGAGUGGCGAACGGGUGAGUAACACGUGAGUAACCUGCCCUUGACUUGGGGAUAACUUCAGGAAACUGGGGCUAAUACCGGAUAGGAGCUCCUGCUGCAUGGUGGGGGUUGGAAAGUUUCGGCGGUUGGGGAUGGACUCGGGGCUUAUCAGCUUGUUGGUGGGGUAGUGGCUUACCAAGGCUUUGACGGGUAGCCGGCCUGAGAGGGUGACCGGCGACAUUGGGACUGAGAUACGGCCCAGUCUGCUACGGGAGGCAGCAGUGGGGAAUAUUGAACAAUGGGCGGAAGCCUGAUGCAGCAACGCCGCGUGCGGGAUGACGGCCUUCGGGUUGUAAACCGCUUUCGCCUGUGACGAAGCGUGAGUGACGGUAAUGGGUAAAGAAGCACCGGCUAACUACGUG
rnacentral:rRNA from 1 species